rnacentral:rRNA from 1 species
GACGAACGCUGGCGGCGUGCUUAACACAUGCAAGUCGAACGGAAAGGCCCUGCUUUUGUGGGGUGCUCGAGUGGCGAACGGGUGAGUAACACGUGAGUAACCUGCCCUUGACUUUGGGAUAACUUCAGGAAACUGGGGCUAAUACCGGAUAGGAGCUCCUGCUGCAUGGUGGGGGUUGGAGAGUUUCGGCGGUUGGGGAUGGACUCGCGGCUUAUCAGCUUGUUGGUGGGGUAGUGGCUUACCAAGGCUUUGACGGGUAGCCGGCCUGAGAGGGUGACCGGCCACAUUGGGACUGAGAUACGGCCCAGACUCCUACGGGAGGCAGCAGUGGGGAAUAUUGCACAAUGGGCGGAAGCCUGAUGCAGCAACGCCGCGUGCGGGAUGACGGCCUUCGGGUUGUAAACCGCUUUCGCCUGUGACGAAGCGUGAGUGACGGUAAUGGGUAAAGAAGCACCGGCUAACUACGUGCCAGCAGCCGCGGUGAUACGUAGGGUGCGAGCGUUGUCCGGAUUUAUUGGGCGUAAAGGGCUCGUAGGUGGUUGAUCGCGUCGGAAGUGUAAUCUUGGGGCUUAACCCUGAGCGUGCUUUCGAUACGGGUUGACUUGAGGAAGGUAGGGGAGAAUGGAAUUCCUGGUGGAGCGGUGGAAUGCGCAGAUAUCAGGAGGAACACCAGUGGCGAAGGCGGUUCUCUGGGCCUUUCCUGACGCUGAGGAGCGAAAGCGUGGGGAGCGAACAGGCUUAGAUACCCUGGUAGUCCACGCUGUAAACGGUGGGUACUAGGUGUGGGGUCCAUUCCACGGGUUCCGUGCCGUAGCUAACGCUUUAAGUACCCCGCCUGGGGAGUACGGCCGCAAGGCUAAAACUCAAAGGAAUUGACGGGGCCCCGCACAAGCGGCGGAGCAUGCGGAUUAAUUCGAUGCAACGCGUAGAACCUUACCUGGGUUUGACAUGGAUCGGGAGUGCUCAGAGAUGGGUGUGCCUCUUUUGGGGUCGGUUCACAGGUGGUGCAUGGCUGUCGUCAGCUCGUGUCGUGAGAUGUUGGGUUAAGUCCCGCAACGAGCGCAACCCUUGUUCACUGUUGCCAGCACGUUAUGGUGGGGACUCAGUGGAGACCGCCGGGGUCAACUCGGAGGAAGGUGGGGAUGACGUCAAGUCAUCAUGCCCCUUAUGUCCAGGGCUUCACGCAUGCUACAAUGGCUGGUACAGAGAGUGGCGAGCCUGUGAGGGUGAGCGAAUCUCGGAAAGCCGGUCUCAGUUCGGAUUGGGGUCUGCAACUCGACCUCAUGAAGUCGGAGUCGCUAGUAAUCGCAGAUCAGCAACGCUGCGGUGAAAACGUUCCCGGGGCU